UGAGCAAUCUGCCCUUCUCAUCGGAAUAAGCGUUGGAAACGACGUCUAAUGCCGAAUACGACCUCCUUUCGCAUGAUCGGAGGUGGAAAGCUCCGGCGGAGAAGGAUGAGCUCGCGGCCUAUCAGCUAGUUGGUGUGGGUAAUGGCCCACCAAGGCGACGACGGGUAGCCGGCCUGAGAGGGUGACCGGCCACACGUGGGACUGAGACACGGCCCAGACUCCUACGGGAGCAG
rnacentral:rRNA from 1 species